GGUUUUUAGAUAUGAUUAAAAAUCCAACCUGCUCAAUGCCAAAGUAAAUAGCCGCGGUAUUAUGACCGUGCAAAGGUAGCAUAAUCAUUUGUCUUUUAAUUGAGGACUGGAAUGAAAGGUUAGACUAAAUAUUUUUGUCUUAUGUUGAUACAUUGAAAUUUAUCAUUUAGUAAAAAAGCUAAAAUUUUUCUUAAAGACGAGAAGACCCUAUCAAGCUUUACAAUUUAUCUAUAUCAUCAAAUUAUAAAAAAAAUUGUUUUACUGGGGCAGUAGACAAAAUUAAUUUUGUUUUAUAAUUAUGAAAAGUACAUCUAGAAAAAUCAAGAAGUUCUUAAAUAAAAACAAGUUACUGUAGGGAUAACAGCAUAAUUUUUUUUAAGAGUUCUUAUCAUCAAAAAAUUUUGUGACCUCGAUGUUGGAUUAAGAGACCUUUUUCGCGCAAUAGCAAAAAAAGGAAGUCUGUUCGACUUUUAAUUUCUUCCA
rnacentral:rRNA from 1 species